rnacentral:rRNA from 1 species
UACGAAGGGGGCUAGCGUUGCUCGGAAUUACUGGGCGUAAAGCGCACGUAGGCGGGUUCUUAAGUCGGUGGUGAAAUCCUGGAGCUCAACUCCAGAACUGCCUUCGAAACUGGGAAUCUUGAGUCCGGGAGAGGUGAGUGGAACUGCGAGUGUAGAGGUGAAAUUCGUAGAUAUUCGCAAGAACACCAGUGGCGAAGGCGGCUCACUGGUCCAUUACUGACGCUGAGGUGCGAAAGCGUGGGGAGCAAACAGG